UUUGUGUGAGUGAGUGAC
rnacentral:siRNA from 1 species